rnacentral:rRNA from 1 species
UGGGGAAUAUUGCACAAUGGGCGAAAGCCUGAUGCAGCGACGCCGCGUGAGGGGAGAAGGUUUUCGGAUUGUAAACCUCUGUCUUCGGGGACGAUAAUGACGGUACCCGAGGAGGAAGCCACGGCUAACUACGUGCCAGCAGCCGCGGUAAAACGUAGGUGGCAAGCGUUGUCCGGAAUUACGGGUGUAAAGGGAGCGCAGGCGGGGUGCCAAGUUGGGUGUGAAAACUAUGGGCUUAACCCAUAGAUUGCACUCAAAACUGGCGCUCUUGAGUGAUGGAGAGGCAGGCGGAAUUCCCGGUGUAGCGGUGGAAUGCGUAGAUAUCGGGAGGAACACCAGUGGCGAAGGCGGCCUGCUGGACAUUAACUGACGCUGAGGCUCGAAAGUGUGGGGAGCAAACAGGAUUAGAUACC